CCUACGGGAGGCAGCAGUGAGGAAUAUUGGUCAAUGGACGAGAGUCUGAACCAGCCAAGUAGCGUGAAGGAUGACUGCCCUAUGGGUUGUAAACUUCUUUUAUAUGGGAAUAAAAUGUUCCACGUGUGGGCUUUUGUAUGUACCAUAUGAAUAAGGAUCGGCUAACUCCGUGCCAGCAGCCGCGGUAAUACGGAGGAUCCGAGCGUUAUCCGGAUUUAUUGGGUUUAAAGGGAGCGUAGGUGGAUUGUUAAGUCAGUUGUGAAAGUUUGCGGCUCAUCCGUAAAAUUGCAGUUGAAACUGGCAGUCUUGAGUACAGUAGAGGUGGGCGGAAUUCGUGGUGUAGCGGUGAAAUGCUUAGGUAUCACGAAGAACUCCGAUUGCGAAGGCAGCUCACUGGACUGCAACUGACACUGAGGCUCGAAAGUGUGGGUAUCAAACAGGAUUAGAUACCCUUGUAGUC
rnacentral:rRNA from 1 species